rnacentral:rRNA from 1 species
CUUAGGCGUGUGACUGCGUACCUUUUGUAUAAUGGGUCAGCGACUUAUAUUCUGUAGCAAGGUUAACCGAAUAGGGGAGCCGAAGGGAAACCGAGUCUUAACUGGGCGUUAAGUUGCAGGGUAUAGACCCGAAACCCGGUGAUCUAGCCAUGGGCAGGUUGAAGGUUGGGUAACACUAACUGGAGGACCGAACCGACUAAUGUUGAAAAAUUAGCGGAUGACUUGUGGCUGGGGGUGAAAGGCCAAUCAAACCGGGAGAUAGCUGGUUCUCCCCGAAAGCUAUUUAGGUAGCGCCUCGUGAAUUCAUCUCCGGGGGUAGAGCACUGUUUCGGCAAGGGGGUCAUCCCGACUUACCAACCCGAUGCAAACUGCGAAUACCGGAGAAUGUUAUCACGGGAGACACACGGCGGGUGCUAACGUCCGUCGUGAAGAGGGAAACAACCCAGACCGCCAGCUAAGGUCCCAAAGUCAUGGUUAAGUGGGAAACGAUGUGGGAAGGCCCAGACAGCCAGGAUGUUGGCUUAGAAGCAGCCAUCAUUUAAAGAAAGCGUAAUAGCUCACUGGUCGAGUCGGCCUGCGCGGAAGAUGUAACGGGGCUAAACCAUGCACCGAAGCUGCGGCAGCGACGCUGAUGCGUUGUUGGGUAGGGGAGCG